UACGGGGGGAGCAAGCGUUGUUCGGAUUUACUGGGCGUAAAGGGCGCGUAGGCGGCCACCGCAAGUCGACUGUGAAAUCUCCGGGCUUAACCCGGAAAGGUCAGCCGAUACUGCGGGGCUAGAGUGCAGAAGGGGCAACUGGAAUUCUCGGUGUAGCGGUGAAAUGCGUAGAUAUCGAGAGGAACACCUGCGGCGAAGGCGGGUUGCUGGGCUGACACUGACGCUGAUGCGCGAAAGCGUGGGGAGCGAACCGG
rnacentral:rRNA from 1 species